GGGUCAAUGAUGAGCAUUUUAAAUUGCCUGGAGGAGCGGUGAUGACUGAAAGAUCACGCAUGACGCUGAGGCCC
ensembl:snoRNA SNORD115 Small nucleolar RNA SNORD115